GGCACAAAGGGAGUGAUUGCCGUUACAUCCCAUUGGUGAUUGGAGCUCGUUGAUGGGGUUGCUUCAGUUAAGCCCAGGGACUGAAGGAAGGCCGGACCUUCUGUGGGGGUUGUUGCUCGCAGGGCCUUUCCUUCUCGAAAGACUGUGAGGGAUCUUGGGUAAGUCCAGCGGUAGGCCAGUCCUGCAGUUUGUAGAGCUGUGGUUAUGGGUUUCAUCGAUUUUCUCCAUAAUAGGGUGGGCCUGCUGAGGUCUUGAUAGAGGGUAAUGUUGUGUGUUUCAAAGUGG